rnacentral:rRNA from 1 species
GCAAGUCGAACGAUGAAGCUACUGCUUGCAGUAGCGGAUUAGUGGCGCACGGGUGAGUAAUAGAUAGAUAACGUGCCUCUUAGUCUGGGAUAGCCAUUGGAAACGAUGAUUAAUACUAGAUACUCCUUCUUAUUAUAAUUUGAGUCGGGAAAGUUUUUCGCUAAGAGAUCGGUCUAUCUCCCAUCAGCUUGUUGGUAGUGUAAGAGACUACCAAGGCUAUGACGGGUAGCGGGUUUGAGAGGAUGAUC